UGCGGUGAUGAAGAAGUAAUUAAUCUCGUUAAUUUGAGAUUAACAUGAAGAUAAUCUCUCUAUCCAUUCUCAAAUAUACUGAGC